CACGUAGGGGGCAAGCGUUGUCCGGAAUCAUUGGGCGUAAAGAGCUCGUAGGCGGCUCAGUAAGUCGGGUGUGAAACCCUCAGGCUCAACCUGGGGACGCCACCCGAUACUGCUGUGGCUAGAGUCCAGUAGGGGAGUGUGGAAUUCCCGGUGUAGCGGUGAAAUGCGCAGAUAUUGGGAAGAACACCAGAGGCGAAGGCGGGUUGCUGGGCCGACACUGACGCUGAGGCGCGAAAGCCAGGGGAGCAAACGGG
rnacentral:rRNA from 1 species